rnacentral:tRNA from 1 species
AAAUAGAAAGCGAAUAAUUGCAUUCAGUUUCGACCUGAAAAAUUGGUGACAAAUACACCUCUAUUUA